GGGCGCAGUCCGAUCAUGGCGGAGGAUGAUAUGCCGGGCUGCUCUAAAUGUCAACAAAAACAUCACCUCGCCCCCGUUCCGGAGUCCGGACAACCCCUCAUUGACCAGCCCUGCAUGUCCUGUAAGAAACUCCGGAAAACAUUCGAAGAGGUACCCGAUUGUCACAAGCGACCCUUGUUCAAUAGGAGCAUAUCUUGCCCGGUGCAGGGUGCAAUCGUGUCCUAUCUACCGGAGGACGGGAAAUUACUCAACGACUUUUUGUCGGAGAGGGAAAGCGACGAUGUUAGCACCCAACCAAGUGACACUGAAAUUUCUAUCAGUGAGGAAAAAGAACCGUUACCAAGACAACCCGCAUGCCGGGCCAAGAGACAGACCAUCUUCAAUGUUUGUAUGUGUAUUUUGUUGGCUGUGCUUAUCAUCAUUUGUGUAAUCACCUUUGUCGCACACUCAGGACGUUCUACAGGAGAAGGAAACGACCGCCAUCAACCACAGGUAAGAGCUCGGGGAGGAUCUGUCGAGUAUCGUCAUUUGUUGUGCAUCUGUAUCUGAUGCAAUAACUGGACUACGGGCUCUCAAAAAUUAUACAAAUAUUAAUUUCACAUGAACAGAUUAAGGCUUUUGUCAGUUGUGAUAUAUUUUACGUAUUUUGUAUUGAUUUGCUUCCUUAUCUUUUCCAUUCACUCUUUGAUAUGAUUUUUUAUGGUACCUUUAUUUAUUUGCAAACAGUACAUGUAGGUAUUUUGUCAUUGCUAUUUUUAUCCCAUUUCGCCGAAAAACUUAUUUCUAACCAAUCACAAUCCAUUUUUCAGGCCGCUGUGAACUCUGACCUCCCCAGGAAUGCAACAGGUAAGCAUUUCAUUCACAAAUUUUCUGGAAGCGUACACACGCUGUUCUGACUAAUCACCUCAAUCACCGGUAGCUUGUGAACGACCUUGAACGAGUUAUCUGGCUCGUGUAAACGACGUUGAUAUUACGACGUAUUACAAUAAACAGACGAUCUCAGCAAAUCUGUAAUUAUAUAUUGAUACAAAAUAUUUGUAUUUGUAUUGAUACAAUAAUACACGAAAAGAAAAAAUUGAUAUGUUAGAUUAAGAGCAGUAACUUCAAGUUGUAUACGUAUUUGCUAUCAAUUUUAAUUUUGACCAUGUAGCUUUUAUGCAACAAUCUAUUUUUUCUCGACUAAUUACCGUUUCCCCACCAUUUCAGUGGCCCCACAUGUUCACCACCGUCACUGUUUUUCCCGAACUCUGCUCGCCUUGGAUGUUUCCAGACUAGAACAAAGAGACCCGGACAAGCCCACGAACUUCGUGCCGUUUAAGAUUAUCGCCUCGUCGGACGAGAUCGUGAGUCUGUCGGCGGACGGACGGACUAUCAUCUUCAAUAAACCUGGAGAAUACCACGUGGACGUGGAAUUUAUCAUGGACACUUACUCCAUGGACGGUCUCCAGGACAACCGCCCCCAACAACAGAAUCUAUGCCUGAAUAUCCCCGGGAGGGCGCAGGUGUGUCGCCCCCUCAUCCUCAGCAGACACAUGAGGCUGACGCAGAGGGUCAACGCUGAAGUCAGCGUGGAUUCCGGACAAAAUCUGUCCGUGUUUGUCCAUAAUUUUAAGAUGCUAUUUCCUGAUCCGCACCUUAACACAUUGAAAAUCACGACGCGACAUUGUUGAGUACGAUAAUGACAUGCGAUUUGGUGCAAUGGACAAUCAUCUUGUAUAUAAGCCGAAUUCAUACGUCAUUAUUCUACUCCAUACAUGACACUUCUCACAACGAACAAAUUAUUUUAUUAUCAAUAAAUCAUUGUUUUUGAUGUUACAAUACUAAGUUCGACAAUACGAUAAUUUGUUAUAUCUCUUUCGCUCAAUGGGGGGAUACCAUAUUCUCCAUGCUCACGUUUAUGCUACAACGUACAACGCUCAAAUUAGAUCAAAGGGAUACAAUGGCUGAUGACCUGGUUAAUCUCCUCCUUGCCUUCCUCUGGUGCUAUACGACUGUCCCCCACUUAGUCCCCAAGGAUUGUCGAUAUAGAUGCAUUACGUCACUGUGAUAUAUUUCAUUGUUUUGUUGUUCUUACUUGUAUGGUAUGCAGCUUUGUUGAUUUUUUUUUUUUUUUAGAUUUUUCCAUUGUUGAUAUUGAAUUGGACAUGUAUAUAUCAAAAUUUAGUGUUUAAGAAUUAAUUAAGUUAGCGUAAAUUGUCUUCCAGAUGAUUAGUUGUUAGAUGUUUAUUGUUGACAUAUUACCCUGGCACUAUAGAAAUACAAAUUGAUGCUGUGUCAUUUAUGACCGUUCUGUAAAAACGGGUUUGUUCGUAUAUAUGCCUGGUGCAUUGACUAUGAAAUGGCUCACAUAUGUUAAAAAUGUAUUCUUUUAUCAUUGAUCAGUGGUUGUAUAAACAGUUGUUUAUAUAAUUUACUAAUGUUUUGAAAAAAUUAAUAGUGUAGUAGAUCUACAUAUAUAUUUUGUAAUAAAAAUUAU
rnacentral:misc_RNA from 1 species